AGAAGCUUGCUUCUUUGCUGACGAGUGGCGGACGGGUGAGUAAUGUCUGGGAAACUGCCUGAUGGAGGGGGAUAACUACUGGAAACGGUAGCUAAUACCGCAUAACGUCGCAAGACCAAAGAGGGGGACCUUCGGGCCUCUUGCCAUCGGAUGUGCCCAGAUGGGAUUAGCUAGUAGGUGGGGUAACGGCUCACCUAGGCGACGAUCCCUAGCUGGUCUGAGAGGAUGACCAGCCACACUGGAACUGAGACACGGUCCAGACUCCUACGGGAGGCAGCAGUGGGGAAUAUUGCACAAUGGGCGCAAGCCUGAUGCAGCCAUGCCGCGUGUAUGAAGAAGGCCUUCGGGUUGUAAAGUACUUUCAGCGGGGAGGAAGGGAGUAAAGUUAAUACCUUUGCUCAUUGACGUUACCCGCAGAAGAAGCACCGGCUAACUCCGUGCCAGCAGCCGCGGUAAUACGGAGGGUGCAAGCGUUAAUCGGAAUUACUGGGCGUAAAGCGCACGCAGGCGGUUUGUUAAGUCAGAUGUGAAAUCCCCGGGCUCAACCUGGGAACUGCAUCUGAUACUGGCAAGCUUGAGUCUCGUAGAGGGGGGUAGAAUUCCAGGUGUAGCGGUGAAAUGCGUAGAGAUCUGGAGGAAUACCGGUGGCGAAGGCGGCCCCCUGGACGAAGACUGACGCUCAGGUGCGAAAGCGUGGGGAGCAAACAGGGUUAGAUACCCU
rnacentral:rRNA from 1 species